GCAGCGACCCGGUAGCUCAGUUGGUAGAGUGCCUGCCUGUACUUUGUCGCAGGAUCGUCGCAGGAUCGAAGCCUGCCCGGGAUUA
rnacentral:tRNA from 1 species